AAAAAACCUCCGUUACUGUUAAUUAGUUUUGUGGUUUAUAUACAUGAAUGUUGGUUUCUGUGAGAUAACUUGUUGGAUCCUAUUUCCAGAUUUUGUGGGAUGAUUAAUCUAUGGAUUUAAGGUUGUUUAUUUGGAUAAUGCAGUGUGUUUCUGAGCGCUUCCUUUGAUUCAUUGUGUAACAUAUUAAUAUGCUCUUUCUAUUAAUUAUUUUCCAGCUUUUUAAGUGCUUAUUUGAUAAGUUGUUUUUUAAUUUUGAAUUGGUUUUGCAAGUGAAGUGAUGUUGAUGCUGAUUGAUUGAAAAAGGGGGGCUGUUAUUCAACAGGUUUUGGAAAAGUUCUGAAGAGUUGGUUUUGAAUUGGGAACUUCCAAAAGAGCUUUUGGAAGAGUCUGUGAAAUAUGAUGUUGAUGCUGAUUGAUUGAAAAAGGGGGGCUGUUAUUCAACAGGUUUUGGAAAAGUUCUGAAGAGUUGGUUUUGAAUUGGGAACUUCCAAAAGAGCUUUUGGAAGAGUCUGUGAAAUUUGCUUUUUUUUGUUAUUUAUGUGGAUACUUUUGGGUUAUAAUGUAAUAUUUGGAUUAAAUUUUAAUUAUGUAAUUAUCUUUUAAGCUUUUCAAAAUUUAACUC
rnacentral:lncRNA from 1 species